UUACGGACUUAACUCCUGCCUCCCACAAU
rnacentral:sRNA from 1 species